rnacentral:tRNA from 1 species
CCCAGGUUAGCUCAGUUCAUAGAGCGCUCCACUUGAAAUGGAGCGGUCCCGGGUUUGAUACCCGGACCAGGCG